GAUGAACGCUGGCGGCGUGCCUAAUACAUGCAAGUCGAGCGAACAGAUAAGGCGCUUGCUCCUUUGACGUUAGCGGCGGACGGGUGAGAAACAUGUGGAUAACCCACCUAUAAGACUGGGAUAACUUCGGGAAACCGGAGCUAAUACCGGAUAACAUCUUGAACCGCAUGGUUCAAUAGUGAAAGGCGGCUUUGCUGUCACUUAUAGAUGGAUCCGCGCCGUAUUAGCUAGUUGGUAAGGUAACGGCUUACCAAGGCAACGAUACGUAGCCGACCUGAGAGGGUGGUCGGCCACACGGGAGCUGAGACGCGGUCCAGACUCCUACGGGAGGCAGCAGUAGGGAAUCGUCCGCAGUGGGCGAGAGCCUGACGGAGCAACGCCGCGUGAGUGAUGACGGUCUUCGGAUCGUGAAACUCUGUUAUCAGUGAAGAACAAAUGUGUAAGUAACUGUGCACAUCUUGACGGUACCUGGUCAGGAAGCCACGGCUAACUACGUG
rnacentral:rRNA from 1 species